rnacentral:rRNA from 1 species
AGCGAACGCUGGCGGCAGGCUUAACACAUGCAAGUCGAGCGGGCACUUCGGUGUCAUCGGCGGACGGGUGAGGAACACGUGGGGACGUACCCUUUGGUUCGGAAUAACGCUGGGAAACUAGCACUAAUGGCGGCUACGCCCAUUUGGGGAAAGGCUGGCUGCAGAAGGAUCGGCCCGCGUCUGAUUAGCUGGUUGGUGGUGUAAUGGCCUAGCAUGGCGACGAUCAUUAGCUGGUCUGAGAGGAUGAUCAGCCACACUGGGACGGAGACACGGCGCAGAAUCCUACGCGAGGCAGCAGUGGGGAAUAUUGGACAAUGGGGGCAAGGCUGAUGCAGCCAGGCCGGGUGAGUGAUGAAGGCCUUAGGGUUGUAAAGCUCUUUUGUCCGGGACGAUAAUGACGGUACCGGAAGAAUAAGCCCCGGCUAACUUCGUG